AAAGAAAAGGUGUCUUUGGUACA
rnacentral:siRNA from 1 species